UGAUGGACUGGAAUACUCACUACCGUAUCUUUUUAAGUCUAUUGAAUUUGAGGCAAGGUCAUCAGCGUAAUAGGGAGCAACUGUGGAUGAAGAGAAAGAAGCCAUCCUAAAAUCAGAGGCCAAACCAAGGAGAAGGAGCCAAUAAAGGGGGCUGAGGAGCACAACACCAAAAAUCUCAACUAUCUUAAAAGCCAAGGAGAAAAGUCCAAGAGGAGGUGGGAGGAGAUCAAUUGUGCUAACAAGCCAAAUAAAAUACAGAAAUGUGACCAUAAGAAAGAAAGCACAGAGUGGAGACAGCUGCAGACCUUUCACUUCUGAAAGAAGAAACCCCUUUACAUUGAUUCCAUAAGUUGCACAGGCAUGAAGAGCCGUAAUUGGGCUGAACUGCUUCUCUCUUUGGAACAUCUGAUGACAUUAUCAAACCACCAUCAUUAGCCAUUUGCAAAGUUCUGCUGCAGAUAAUGGAGCCAACAGAAACAGCUAACGCCUCAUUUUUCAAAUCUGCAAUAAAACUAGAAAUUAAAAA